ACUAGAUUGCUUUCUGAAAAGUGCCCUACAAAUGUCCAUAAGACGUACAUUGAAUGUACAUAAGGUGUACACUGAAAGCUCCAAUACAACGUACCCUAACAACACACAACAUUCCAGGAAUGUACUACCAAAGUUCUAUCAAUAUUUGAAUGUCCUGGACAUUUAGGGAACAUUCGGUGAACAUCUGUUUAAAUUAUUCCUGGAAUGUUACCAUAAGACAUUCUGUGAACAUACUACCAAUGUUCUUAUAUUUUAAGUUGCGAAAUAAUACAUACGUGUAACAGAUACAACAUUACUUAUAACAUACCAGACAAACUAAGUGACACUUUAGGCCUACAGUGCAAUAAUAUGUCAAAUUUAAAGAGUUUCCCAAGUUCAAUUAAUACAAUAUUAUAAACAUACAAAUGUAAUAAAAAUUAUUGUUCGCGAAUAUUCAAUUUGGAAUGCGAUUUUGUUAAUAAAAAAAAUACUUAUAACUUAUGCAAAACCCAAGAGAGGCAUUUAUAUUUAUUUCUUUUGCGUUCAUUUUCAAAUUCGCCGUGCAUAUAUUUUUGUGCAUGGCGCUUGAGAGGGCAUCACGUGACUAAAAACGACCAACCAACGACCUCGCUUCGGCCAUCUUGGCAUCUUCAUCUUGGUCACCUUGCUUUGCCGUGGAUCGUUUGUAUUAUCUAUUAUUUGUGCUUUUUAAGAAUAUUUUUUUAAUUCGGAUACUUUUAUAAUAGCUUUAAUAGUAUUAUUAACAUAGUGAAUAAAAUGGUGUCCUGUUUUUAACGCAGUUGGAGUAGCAGAAACAAAUGUAGAUAAAAAAAUCUGCAGGAAUAACGUUUCAAUUAUGACAGAAGCUCCAAACAAAUGACUGUGAAUGAAAAGCCCUAUUAAAAGCUUUCCAGAAGAUCCUGCGAAGAAGACAUGAAGUAUAGAUCAGAUUUGUUAAUAGAGGAGUAUGUUCAAAACACUUUUUAGAAAAAGAUAUUGACAGAACUUCACUUUCAUCUGUUCGUUUAAGAGACUGUGCUGUUCCAAUAGCUUAUGUCACACAGAAUCAGCUGAGAGAAGUGGUCUACAAAAAACCAGAAAGGAAACGGAAUAUGUGGCUACGAAAAGCAAAAGAAAGGUUUACAAAGCAAAUGUGACACAUUUUUUUAUAAUAUUUAGGAAUGUCAGUAAAUUACAUUAAAAAAUGUAUGUAAAGAUUUUUUGCAAUAAAAAUGUUUAUAUUUAUCAAGGAUGUAUUAUUUGGUAUGGCCACAUAUCGUCAGUGAUGUGACAAUACCUCAUCUGUUUUUUUCAAGAGAUUUGUAAGAUAGACUAAAAACUUGUUUCGGCCACCUCCUGUUUUCAUAUAUUUUUUGACUUGUUUUGCAGUAAA